rnacentral:rRNA from 1 species
AGAACGAACGCUGGCGGCAUGCCUAAUACAUGCAAGUCGAACGAACUCUUCGGAGUUAGUGGCGCACGGGUGCGUAACGCGUGGGAAUCUGCCCCUUGGUUCGGAAUAACAGUUGGAAACGACUGCUAAUACCGGAUGAUGACGGAAGUCCAAAGAUUUAUCGCCAAGGGAUGAGCCCGCGUAGGAUUAGCUAGUUGGUGAGGUAAAGGCUCACCAAGGCAACGAUCCUUAGCUGGUCUGAGAGGAUGAUCAGCCACACUGGGACUGAGACACGGCCCAGACUCCUACGGGAGGCAGCAGUAGGGAAUAUUGGACAAUGGGCGAAGGCCGGAUCCAGCAAUGCCGCGUGAGUGAUGAAGGCCUUAGGUUGUAAAGCUCUUUACCCGAGAUGAUAAUGACAGUAUCGGAGAAUAAGCCCGGCUAACUCCGCGCCAGCAGCCG